GAGACCCUAUAUUUACAUAAGACUUUAUAAAAAAUUAUUAUCUUAUUAUUUAUUGGUUUGUGUUAUAUUUUGAACCUCUCCAAAUAGGUACCGGAAAAAAUAUUAAUUUAUAAUAUUUAUUAAUUUAUCAAGUAUUAAUUUAUAGAGUUUCUACUGUGUUUAGUUGUGCCUUAUGUUUAAAUCAUAAAUUUGUUUUAAGAUUUAGUAUAAAAAAAAACUAAUGAUUGAACUAUACAUGGAUUAGUGAAAAGACUAGAGAAACAUAAAAAAAAAAUACAGAGCGAGAGGAAAAAAAGAAAGAAAAGAUCUUCACCUUCUCCGGUCGACGACAUCAUGUCGUUCUUUUAGCUCCUUUUCUUCUUCUAGAUGGUACCUUAAAUAUCUCAGAUCUAAAGCGAGAGUAUCAAAUCGGAUUAUGUCGGCUCAGAUCUUAUCAGAUCUGGUGGUCUGUGGUGGUUGUCUGUCCCGUCCCGCAGCGGGCUCGUUUUUUCGCGGGUCACGACGGAUCAGGCCCGUACGGGCUGCGGUCUCCAAAAGAACGGUCCAAUCCCGCCUUGCCAAAGUGCACAGUCCCUUACAGACCGUUCCGAGGGCUGGACACCAAAGGAGUGCAUCAUGACACUUAUUGACGCUGCAGGCUGCUCCAGGACGCUUCAGGAUGAUCCACUACAUACCGAAAUGCACAUAAUGAAGAUACAUGAAGCAUCUACUAUUCAAGCUCAACAAAAUUUGUUAUAUAUUGUUCUUGUUCUUGAAGUCUAUUUUCUUGAAGUUCUUGAAGUCUAUUUUUUCUAUUACAAGUGCAUGAAUAAGAUGAGAUGAUUAUGUAUA